rnacentral:rRNA from 1 species
UGGGGAAUAUUGCACAAUGGGCGCAAGCCUGAUGCAGCCAUGCCGCGUGUGUGAAGAAGGCCUUCGGGUUGUAAAGUACUUUCAGCGGGGAGGAAGGCGUUAAGGUUAAUAACCUUGGCGAUUGACGUUACCCGCAGAAGAAGCACCGGCUAACUCCGUGUCAGCAGCCGCGGUAAUACGGAGGGUGCAAGCGUUAAUCGGAAUUACUGGGCGUAAAGCGCACGCAGGCGGUCUGUCAAGUCGGAUGUGAAAUCCCCGGGCUCAACCUGGGAACUGCAUUCGAAGCUGGCAGGCUAGAGUCUUGUAGAGGGGGGUAGAAUUCCAGGUGUAGCGGUGAAAUGCGUAGAGAUCUGGGGGAAUACCGGUGGCGAAGGCGGCCCCCUGGACAAAGACUGACGCUCAGGUGCGAAAGCGUGGGGAGCAAACAGG